rnacentral:rRNA from 1 species
AGAGCGAACGCUGGCGGCAGGCUUAACACAUGCAAGUCGAGCGCCCCGCAAGGGGAGCGGCAGACGGGUGAGUAACACGUGGGAACGUACCCUUUGGUUCGGAACAACCCAGGGAAACUUGGGCUAAUACCGGAUAAGUCCGUAAGGAGAAAGAUUUAUCGCCAAAGGAUCGGCCCGCGUCUGAUUAGCUAGUUGGUAGGGUAAUGGCCUACCAAGGCUACGAUCAGUAGCUGGUCUGAGAGGAUGAUCAGCCACAUUGGGACUGAGACACGGACCCAACUCCGUACGGGAGGCAGCAGGUGGGAAUAGUGACAAGUGGGACGCAACGCCUGACUACCCAGCCAGUGGACCGCGUGAGUAGA